AACGAACGCUGGCGGCAUGCCUAACACAUGCAAGUCGAACGAGACCUUCGGGUCUGGUUGCUCACUGGUGCGUCACGCGUCGGACCCUUCCCUUAGGUUCGGCAUAACUCCCCGAAAUGGGUGCUAAUACCGGAUAAUUUCUUCUGACCAAAGAUUUAUCGCCGUUGGAUGAGCCCGCGUUGGUUUAACUAUUUGGUAGUGUAAAAGCCUACCACGGCGAAGAUCCAUAGCUGGUCUGAGAGGAUGAGCAGCCACACUUGGACUGAGACACGGCCCAGAAUCCUACGGGAGGCAGCAGUGGGGAAUAGUGGACAAUGGGCGAAAGCCUGAACCAGCAAGGCCGCGUGAGUGAUGAAGGCCUUAGGGUUGUAAAGCUCGUUUACCCGGGAUGAUAAUGACAGUACCGGGAGAAUAAGCUCCGGCUAACUCCGUG
rnacentral:rRNA from 1 species